rnacentral:rRNA from 1 species
CCUAACACAUGCAAGUCGAGGGGUAACAGGUCUCUUUCGAGAUGCUGACGACCGGCGAACGGGUGAGUAACGCGUAUGUAACCUGCCCGUAGCUGAGGAAUAGCCCGGAGAAAUCCGGAUUAAUGCAUCAUAAUGUUUCGAAAUCGCAUGUUUUUGAAACUAAAGAAUUUCGGCUACGGAUGGGCAUGCGUGCCAUUAGCUUGUUGGUAAGGUAAAGGCUUACCAAGGCAAUGAUGGCUAGGGGGUCUGAGAGGAUGAUCCCCCACACUGGUACUGAGACACGGACCAGACUCCUACGGGAGGCAGCAGUGAGGAAUAUUGGUCAAUGGGCGCAAGCCUGAACCAGCCAUGCCGCGUGCAGGAUGACUGCCCUAUGGGUUGUAAACUGCUUUUGUACAGGAAGAAACCUCCUGACUUGUCAGGAACUGACGGUACUGUACGAAUAAGCAUCGGCUAACUCCGUGCCAGCAGCCGCGGUAAUACGGAGGAUGCAAGUGUUAUCCGGAUUCACUGGGUUUAAAGGGUGCGUAGGCGGGAUAGUAAGUCGAUGGUGAAAGCCUGCAGCUUAACUGUAGAAUUGCCAUUGAUACUGCUAUUCUUGAGUGCAGUUGUAGUAGGCGGAAUGUGUAAUGUAGCGGUGAAAUGCAUAGAUAUUACACAGAACACCAAUCGUGAAGACAGCUUACUAAGCUGUAACUGACGCUGAGGCACGAAAGCGUGGGGAGCGAACAGGAUUAGAUACCCUGGUAGUCCACGCUGUAAACGAUGAUCACUCGCUGUUGGCGAUAUAUUGUCAGCGGCUUAGCUAAAGCAUUAAGUGAUCCACCUGGGGAGUACGUCCGCAAGGAUGAAACUCAAAGGAAUUGACGGGGGCCCGCACAAGCGGAGGAACAUGUGGUUUAAUUCGAUGAUACGCGAGGAACCUUACCUGGGCUUAAAUGCAGAACGACCGGCCAGGAAACUGGCCUUCCUUCGGGCGAUCUGCAAGGUGCUGCAUGGUUGUCGUCAGCUCGUGCCGUGAGGUGUCGGGUUAAGUCCCAUAACGAGCGCAACCCCUAUUGUUAGUUACCAGCGGAUAAUGCCGGGGACUCUAACGAAACUGCCGGUGUAAACCGAGAGGAAGGUGGGGAUGACGUCAAAUCAGCACGGCCCUUAUGUCCAGGGCUACACACGUGUUACAAUAGCCAGUACAGAGGGAAGCUACUACGCGAGUAGAUGCAAAUCUCGAAAGCUGGUUUCAGUUCGGAUUGAAGUCUGCAACUCGACUUCAUGAAGGUGGAUUCGCUAGUAAUCGCGCAUCAGCAAUGGCGCGGUGAUACGUUCCCGGGCCUUGUACACACCGCCCGUCAAGCCAUGGGAGUCGGGAGUACCUGAAGUCCGUAACCGAAAGGAG